ACCUGGCUGGCUCAGUUGGAAGAAUAUAUGACUCUUAAUCUUGAGGUUGUGAGUUCAAGCCCCACGUUGGGUG
rnacentral:tRNA from 1 species